rnacentral:tRNA from 1 species
GGUUGUGGUUCAGGGGUAGAGAGCACUUGCCUUGUAUGUGUGAGGCCCUGGGUUCGAUCCUCAGCACCA